rnacentral:rRNA from 1 species
ACACUCCUACGGGAGGCAGCAGUGGGGAAUUUUGGACAAUGGGCGAAAGCCUGAUCCAGCCAUGCCGCGUGCAGGAUGAAGGCCUUCGGGUUGUAAACUGCUUUUGUACGGAACGAAACGGCCUUUUCUAAUAAAGAGGGCUAAUGACGGUACCGUAAGAAUAAGCACCGGCUAACUACGUGCCAGCAGCCGCGGUAAUACGUAGGGUGCAAGCGUUAAUCGGAAUUACUGGGCGUAAAGCGUGCGCAGGCGGUUAUGUAAGACAGUUGUGAAAUCCCCGGGCUCAACCUGGGAACUGCAUCUGUGACUGCAUAGCUAGAGUACGGUAGAGGGGGACGGAAUUCCGCGUGUAGCAGUGAAAUGCGUAGAUAUGCGGAGGAACACCGAUGGCGAAGGCAAUCCCCUGGACCUGUACUGACGCUCAUGCACGAAAGCGUGGGGAGCAAACAGGAUUAGAAACCCGGGUAGUCCCA